ensembl:lncRNA
CAGCUGGGAAGUGCCACGGAUCAUGAUGGCUUGUGGUGGGCAGCUCACGUCUUAUUACGCUAUAUAAACACAAACAACACACCAGACGGAACUAGAUCAAAUAACAGGAGUCAGGGAACCAGGAGCUCAGAUGAAGGCUCUUGCAAAUUUCUCUGCUCCAGUUUUACAGAACACAGUCUGGUCUAGAUUGUCAAUUUGUGUGUUGAGUAGUAGGAGGAAGGUAGGAUGCACGGGAAGUCCUCGUUUCAAAGAUGAAAAAUGUAGCUCAGAGAUGCCAACCCUGUGGUCAUCAUUAAGCAUGUGUGUGUUAGGUACAUGUUUUCCAACAGACACCGAAUUAAACAGUGAUAUUUCAGAAAGUGUUAUAAUCACUGGCUCCAACUGGACAGGACAGAUGAUACCUAUAGUGCUGUACAUGUUCCUGGAGGAAGUUUCAAAGGAGUCACAGUUCUUUCCACUUGUUUUUUCGCAGUGGCCAGAAAUGACAGCUGCGGUUCCAAGAGUUACAUGUAUUAACAGAGACAAAGAAAUGAAGCACAGAUUAAUUCGUUGCUUUUUAUGAGUGAAGAUACAGUGUCUCAGAAACCCCCAGUAGCAGUCAGGGCCUACUCAAAAGAGAAAUCACCCAGCAGGUUAAACACAGAAGUUUUAUAU